rnacentral:rRNA from 1 species
AGUGAACGCUGGCGGUAGGCCUAACACAUGCAAGUCGAACGGCAGCACAGGAGAGCUUGCUCUCUGGGUGGCGAGUGGCGGACGGGUGAGGAAUACAUCGGAAUCUACCUUGUCGUGGGGGAUAACGUAGGGAAACUUACGCUAAUACCGCAUACGACCUUCGGGUGAAAGUGGGGGACCGCAAGGCCUCAUGCAGAGAGAUGAGCCGACGCCGGAUUAGCUAGUUGGCGGGGUAAGGACCCACCAAGGCGACGAUCCGUAGCUGGUCUGAGAGGAGGAUCGGCCACACUGGAACUGAGACACGGUCCAGACUCCUACGGGAGGCAGCAGUGGGGAAUAUUGGACAAGGGGCGCAAGCCUGAUCCAGCCAUGCCGCGUGUGUGAAGAAGGCCUUCGGGUUGUAAAGCACUUUUGUCCGGAAAGAAAAGCUUCCGAUUAAUACUCGGGAGUCAUGACGGUACCGGAAGAAUAAGCACCGGCUAACUUCGUGCCAGCCGCCGCCGUAAUAC